rnacentral:rRNA from 1 species
AGAGAUUUGGGAGUGCUCGAAAGAGAACCUGCACACAGGUGCUGCAUGGCUGUCGUCAGCUCGUGUCGUGAGAUGUUGGGUUAAGUCCCGCAACCGAGCGCAACCCUUGCCAUUAGUUGCUACGAAAGGGCACUCUAAAUGGGACUGCCGGUGACAAACCGGAGGAAGGUGGGGAUGACGUCAAGUCCUCAUGGCCCUUAUAGGUGGGGCUACACACGUCAUACAAUGGCCGGUACAGAGGGUAGCCAACCCGCGAGGGGGAGCCAAUCCCACAAAGCCGGUCGUAGUCCGGAUCGCAGUCUGCAACUCGACUGCGUGAAGUCGGAAUCGCUAGUAAUCGCGGAUCAGCAUGUCGCGGUGAAUACGUUCCCGGGUCUU